rnacentral:rRNA from 1 species
UACGUAGGGUCCGAGCGUUGUCCGGAAUUAUUGGGCGUAAAGGGCUCGUAGGCGGUUUGUCGCGUCGGGAGUGAAAACUCAGGGCUCAACCCUGAGCGUGCUUCCGAUACGGGCAGACUAGAGGUAUGCAGGGGAGACUGGAAUUCCUGGUGUAGCGGUGGAAUGCGCAGAUAUCAGGAGGAACACCGGUGGCGAAGGCGGGUCUCUGGGCAGUAACUGACGCUGAGGAGCGAAAGCGUGGGGAGCGAACAGG